rnacentral:rRNA from 1 species
UAGGGAAUCUUCGGCAAUGGACGCAAGUCUGACCGAGCAACGCCGCGUGAGUGAAGAAGGUUUUCGGAUCGUAAAACUCUGUUGUUAGAGAAGAACAAGGAUGAGAGUGGAAAGUUCAUCCCUUGACGGUAUCUAACCAGAAAGCUACGGCUAACUACGUGCCAGCAGCCGCGGUAAUACGUAGGUGGCAAGCGUUGUCCGGAUUUAUUGGGCGUAAAGCGAGCGCAGGCGGUCUUUUAAGUCUGAUGUGAAAGCCCCCGGCUUAACCGGGGAGGGUCAUUGGAAACUGGAAGACUUGAGUGCAGGAGAGGAAAGUGGAAUUCUCAGUGUAGCGGUGAAAUGCGUAGAUAUUGGGAAGAACACCAGUAGCGAAGGCGGCUUUCUGGACUGCAACUGACACUGAGGCACGAAAGCGUGGGUAGCAAACAG